GAUACUUUAUUACAGUUUCUAGUGGCGACGGUGAGUACACGUUGGAACCUGCCCCAAAGUGAGGAAUAACGCCACCGAAAGGUGGUCUAGUACUUCAUAAUAUCCAUCUCGUAUGGAUUAAAGCUUUAUGCGCUUUGGGAGGGGCCUGCGUAACAUUAGCUUGUUGGUGAGGUAAAAGCUCACCAAGGCUUCGAUGUUUAACUGGUUUGAGAGGAUGACCAGUCACACUGGGACUGAGAUACGGCCCAGACUCCUACGGGAGGCAGCAGUAAGGAAUCUUCCACAAUGGGGCAACCCUGAUGGAGCAAUACCGCGUGCAGGAUGAAGCGUUUCGGCGUGUAAACUGCUUUUAUCACCGAAGAUUAUGACUGUAGGUGAAGAAUAAGGACCGGCUAACUACGUG
rnacentral:rRNA from 1 species